AUUGAACGCUGGCGGCAGGCCUAACACAUGCAAGUCGAACGGUAGCACAGAGAGCUUGCUCUCGGGUGACGAGUGGCGGACGGGUGAGUAAUGUCUGGGAAACUGCCCGAUGGAGGGGGAUUACUACUGGAAACGGUAGCUAAUACCGCAUAACGUCGCAAGACCAAAGUGGGGGACCUUCGGGCCUCACACCAUCGGAUGUGCCCAGAUGGGAUUAGCUUGUAGGUGGGGUAAUGGCUCACCUAGGCGACGAUCCCUAGCUGGUCUGAGAGGAUGACCAGCCACACUGGAACUGAGACACGGUCCAGACUCCUACGGGAGGCAGCAGUGGGGAAUAUUGCACAAUGGGCGCAAGCCUGAUGCAGCCAUGCCGGGCGUAUGAAGAAGGCCUUCGGGUUGUAAAGUACUUUCAGCGGGGAGGAAGGCGGUGAAGUUAAUAACUUCACCGAUUGACGUUACCCGCAGAAGAAGCACCGGCUAACUCCGUGCCAGCCGCCGCGGUAA
rnacentral:rRNA from 1 species